AGCGCGUGCACUUCUCCCCUAGNACAACACCRCRACCCGUCGUCGUGGCGGUCUCUUAGCGCGUCGGGAGAAGGUCCCGGUGUCCGUCCGCAAGGUCGGCGCCGGAGUCUCCUUGGCGUGCGACCGCCGCUCGACGGUAGARAACGAGGAUCGGAUCCGGCGCUCGUCGCGUCUGGUUCGGCGACGACGUCUCGCGUGUCGUGGGCUUCCGGGCAACCGUUCCCACGGCCCGCACGGAGGCGGUGUCGCCGGGUCGUCUCGGACAGGAUCCGUCCCGGUCGGCGGUGGUUAUGCUUCGGGCACUCACAGGACCCGUCUUGAAACACGGACCAAGGAGUCUAGCAUGUGCGCGAGUCAUAGGGAGCGAAUAGACCCUGAGGCGCAAUGAAAGUGAACGUUAGGGACGAUGSCGAGCGGCCCARGCCG
rnacentral:rRNA from 1 species